rnacentral:misc_RNA from 1 species
CCAACAGGGAUUGCCCUAGUAACGGCGAGUGAAGCGGCAUCAGCUCAAAUUUGAAAUCUGGCUCUUUCAGAGUCCGAGUUGUAAUUUGCAGAGGGCGCUUUGGCGUUGGCAGCGGUCCAAGUUCCUUGGAACAGGACGUCACAGAGGGUGAGAAUCCCGUACGUGGUCGCUAGCCUUCACCGUGUAAAGCCCCUUCGACGAGUCGAGUUGUUUGGGAAUGCAGCUCUAAAUGGGAGGUAAAUUUCUUCUAAAGCUAAAUACUGGCCAGAGACCGAUAGCGCACAAGUAGAGUGAUCGAAAGAUGAAAAGCACUUUGGAAAGAGAGUCAAAUAGCACGUGAAAUUGUUGAAAGGGAAGCGCUUGCAGCCAGACUUGCCUGUAGUUGCUCAUCCGGGCUUUUGCCCGGUGCAUUCUUCUAUAGGCAGGCCAGCAUCAGUUUGGGCGGUUGGAUAAAGGCCUCUGUCAUGUACCUCCUUUCGGGGAGGCCUUAUAGGGGAGGCGACAUGCAACCAGCCUGGACUGAGGUCCGCGCAUCUGCUAGGAUGCUGGCGUAAUGGCUGUAAGCGGCCCGUCUUGAAACACGGACCAAGGAGUCUAACAUCUAUGCGAGUGUUUGGGUGUCAAGCCCGAGCGCGCAAUGAAAGUGAACGGAGGUGGGAUCCCUUAAGGGUGCACCAUCGACCGAUCCUGAUGUCUUCGGAUGGAUUUGAGUAAGAGCAUGGCUGUUGGGACCCGAAAGAUGGUGAACUAUGCUUGAAUAGGGUGAAGCCAGAGGAAACUCUGGUGGAGGCUCGCAGCGGUUCUGACGUGCAAAUCGAUCGUCAAAUUUGGGCAUAGGGGCGAAAGACUAAUCGAAC